rnacentral:tRNA from 1 species
UGCAGGUUGGUGUAAAGGCUAGCAUUUGAGGCUCAUAACCUCAAGAUAGGGUUCGAGUCCCUGCCUGCCA